rnacentral:rRNA from 1 species
UACGGAGGAUGCGAGCGUUAUCCGGAUUUAUUGGGUUUAAAGGGUGCGUAGGCGGUCCGUUAAGUCAGCGGUAAAAUUGCGGGGCUCAACCCCGUCGAGCCGUUGAAACCGUCAGACUUGAGUUGGCGAGAAGUACGCGGAAUGCGCGGUGUAGCGGUGAAAUGCAUAGAUAUCGCGCAGAACUCCGAUUGCGAAGGCAGCGUACCGGCGCCACACUGACGCUGAGGCACGAAAGCGUGGGGAUCGAACAGG